CCUGGUGUAGCGGUGAAAUGCGCAGAUAUCAGGAGGAACACCGAUGGCGAAGGCAGGUCUCUGGGCCACUACUGACGCUGAGAAGCGAAAGCAUGGGGAGCGAACAGGAUUAGAUACCCUGGUAGUCCAUGCCGUAAACGUUGGGAACUAGGUGUGGGUCUCAUUCCACGAGAUCCGUGCCGCAGCUAACGCAUUAAGUUCCCCGCCUGGGGAGUACGGCCGCAAGGCUAAAACUCAAAGGAAUUGACGGGGGCCCGCACAAGCGGCGGAGCAUGCGGAUUAAUUCGAUGCAACGCGAAGAACCUUACCAAGGCUUGACAUAUACCGGAAACACCUAGAGAUAGGUGCCCCGCAAGGUCGGUAUACAGGUGGUGCAUGGUUGUCGUCAGCUCGUGUCGUGAGAUGUUGGGUUAAGUCCCGCAACGAGCGCAACCCUCGUUCUAUGUUGCCAGCACGUAAUGGUGGGGACUCAUAGGAGACUGCCGGGGUCAACUCGGAGGAAGGUGGGGAUGACGUCAAAUCAUCAUGCCCCUUAUGUCUUGGGCUUCACGCAUGCUACAAUGGCCGGUACAAAGGGCUGCGAUACCGCAAGGUGGAGCGAAUCCCAAAAAACCGGUCUCAGUUCGGAUUGGGGUCUGCAACUCGACCCCAUGAAGUCGGAGUCGCUAGUAAUCGCAGAUCAGCAACGCUGCGGUGAAUACGUUCCCGGGCCUUGUACACACCGCCCGUCAAGUCACGAAAGUCGGUAACACCCGAAGCCGGUGGCCCAACUCUUUGAGGGGGAGCCGUCGAAGGUGGGACUGGCGAUUGGGACUAAGUCGUAACAAGGUACCAAUCCCGCGG
rnacentral:rRNA from 1 species